ensembl:lncRNA
GGAAACUCUUGAAAGCUUGGCCAUUUUAAAACUCAAAGGAAGUGUACCUCCAACAGUGAGACUCAGGCUGUGUGACAGAUGGUAGAAAGAAAUAUUUACACGAAGGCUGUGGCUGGGAGGGCAGACACGCUCACUGUUGCCGUAGGUGAACUUGUGUUGCUGCCUGUUGGACACGCAGGCACAACGUGGCGAAGCCUCCAUGAGUCCUGACGUGUCUUCCUCACAGCAAACAGCCGCCACCUUUAGUUACUCCUUGGGGACCACGAUUUUUCUCAGCCAGCCUCCUUCACGAUCUCCUCCAAAGUGCGCUUGGCUCUCCCGGGAGAAUCGCAGCUGAGAAUGACAGCUGGACAGUUGCACCCGGCUCACCAGCUUCGCACACAGCUUGCUUUCAAGGAAGUGGGGCAGCAAACUGGCAGACCCCCGGAAAGACUCAGUUUCCCCACCUUGACUGCAUUUAGGGGUGGCUGUGCGACUGAGUUCUGGCCAAUGAAGUGUGAGUGGGAGAGGCCACUCACUAGUUAGAAACGAGUCAACAUCACUGGGUACAAGAUGUUCUGACCAAAUUCCAACUUCCAGUUGGACGUUCCCAGCCCUUCUCGAGGGCUGUCUGGUAAUUUUCUAAUCCUGCCUGGGACAUUCCUGUUUCCUGCUGAGAAAUAAGAAAACAACAAUGCUUCCCUAAGGGUGGUCUGCUUCAGCCCUGGGCCCUGGGAUCUCCAUUUUAGGGAAAGUGUUUACAAGGGUAUAAAGCUCUGAAAGGAAGCGGGCCUGUGAGUCUUCUGGGAAAGAACAUGGGCCCCCGCCAUAAGGAUUUGCCGCAGAAUUCUGCUGCAUUCCUCAGCGGGACAGACUGUCUAGGAAGUUCACUUUGAUUAAAAUAUAGCUACAUGUAAGUGUGUGUGAGUGGGUGUGUGAAACAGAUCUGAGAAAAAGGCAGGCAAAAGUAAAGGGAGUGAGGGAGAUAAGGAGAGAGGUCACAGGCAGAUAGUUCUCUCUCGGUGCAUAAAGAUUUCUUCGGUGCACUUGAAUUUUUUUUAUUAUGGAAAUAUUCAAACAUACACAAAAAUAGAGAAAAUAGUGUAGUGAACCACCACGUACCCAUCAUCCAACUUCAACAACUAUCAACAUUUUGUCAAUCUUUUUUACCUAUCUGCUCCUCUCCUUUUUUUUGCUCUAGAACUGGGAAUUGGCAAACUAGCACCCACUGGGCCAAAUCCAGCUUGCCUCCUGUUUUUGUAAAUAAAGUUUUAUUGGAACACAGCCGCAACUAUUCCUUUAUGUGUUAUCCACACCUGCUUUCACAUCACACCAGCAAGGCUGAGUAGUUGGACAGACAUUGUAUAGCCCAGGAAGCCUAAAAUAUUUCUAUGUGAACUUUUAGAGAAAAAGCUUAUACUGGGCAUCAUACCAUUUCACUCAUAAAUGUUUCAAUAUGAGUCUCUAGCAGAUAAUGUAACUGUGGGCCUCCAGGACCAGUGCAACUGACCUCGUCUCUUACCACCAGAGUGAUUAAGAACUGCCUUUCAGAAAGUGUGCAAAGUCACAUAGCCAGGGCACGUGCAAAAGAAGAAAUCGUGACCUGAAACGACUUCAGAACCAAAGAUCCUCCUUCCCAUGGAACCCAAGGACCAGGAUAUGACUGGAACUUGAAAGUCAGACUCUUCUCAGAAGGCACUUAACAUGAGUCUUACGUUCCUCACCUGGAAGUUGAGAGGGUUGCCCUGGCUAAUCCUCAAGGACCCGGCCAGCCAGAGGUCUGAAGCCAGGAGAAACGUGGUGCGGGUUAAGGUUGUGGCGCCAGCUUCCACACGGUUCGUGUGCACAGUGAAGCCCAUGAGAAGUGUUCUGUUUGGAGAAGCAGCUCUGACAACUGGGGGCAAUGCAGUCAUCCGCAAAGGAAGCAGCCUUCGAAAGUGCUCCCAGCCUGUUGUCCCAAGAGGAAGGAAGGCGUGAGCUCGUUUCUGAGGGCAGAUCCGCCCUGAAGGAGCACUAACUAAUUUUCCCUUUGCCCCAGUUCCUUGAACUCGUUCUCUCUCUUUAUUGUGCAUAUUUUUCUAAACACCUCAAAUCCUUUUAUGGAAUAAAGUUAGGAUAUAAAUGUGUUCAUUUUUAAAAAAAUCCUGAAAAGUGAGUUGCUUCAAACUACCAUAGAACUACCAUAUGACCUAGCGAUGCCACUUCUGGGCAUACACGCCAAAGAAUUGAAAGCAGAGACUCGAACAGAUUUUGGUACACCCAUGUUCAAAGCAGCAUCAUUCACGAUGGCCAAAAUGUGGAAACAACCCAAGCGUCCAUCAACAGAUGAAUGAUAAACAAAAUGUGAUACACACACUGUAGUAUACUAUUCAGACGUAAAAAGGAAUGAAAUUUUGAAACAUGCUAAAACUUGGAAGGACCUUGAAAACAUUAUGCCAGCAAUAAGCCAGACACAGAAGGGGAAAUAUUGUAUGAUUCCAUUCAUAGGAGGUACCAAGAAUAGGCCAAUUCAUAGAGACAGAAAGUGGAAUAGAGGUUACCAGGGGCUGGGGGAAGGGAGAAGAAGGGGUUAUCAUUUAACAGACAGAGAGUUUUUGUUGGAGAUGAUGAAAAAGUUUUGCGUGUAGAUAGUGACGAUGGUUACAUAACUUUGGGAAUGUGUUUAAUGCCACUGAAUUGUACACUUAUGAAGGGUUAAAAUGAUAAAUAUUGUGUUAUAUAUAUUUUACCACAAUAAAAAUAGUUUUUUAUGGUGAAAAAGUUAUAUUUGGAAUUGGUCAGCUGGACUCAGUUCAGAGGAUCCCAGCUCUGUUGGCAACAUCCAGAGCAUCAGAGUCAGGCCAGUGGCACGUAUACCUUCUCUCCGUCCGGCCGGAUUGGGGUGUGGACCUUGGCCGCGUCAACGUCAUGGAGCGUCUUCACAGCCUGUUCGAUCAGCGUUUCUGGGACUUGACAUCUACAGUGAGCACAGUGUGUUGCUGUCUUUUAUCUUCUUCACAGCUGACUUGGUGGGGGGGGGGAACAUGAUGAUGAGGUAGUGGUCAAGCUGGUUCUCCUGGGGGCACUCUUCCGGGGGUAUUCGGGCUGCCUUUGGAGGCUCAGAAUCUUGGGCAGUCGGAAGGUGGGUGACGUGCAGAUAUUCUCUUUUCUGUGUGGCUGUGAGUGCCUUUCAGCCCUGCUUUCUUGGCCUUCAAGGCCUUUGCUGUGGCUUCCACUUUGGGAGGUGCAGGGGCUUCCUUCUUUGCUUGCAGCACCAUCCGUGUGAAAGCGUAAAAACAGUUUUUUAAAAUGAGCUGCUGUUUGUGCUUCUGUUAAAAACUUUUUUUGUGUGUGUCAAUUGGGUCUCUGUAAAGUGCAAGGGAAAGGAGAGGAAAUGAACGGGGAGGCAGCUGCUCCAUUGUGAAAUCUGCCUGGAAAUCGCGAUGACUGAAACGUCAGGCUGUGUAUGUGUUUGUG